rnacentral:rRNA from 1 species
AUGACGUACUCCUGCCAUGGCUCGAUGGCCAUGGGCACACAGAGGAUAAGAGAGAGCAGAGGAAGAGGAACCGAGUGGUUAUGUAUGUGUGGUAGCAGCUGGAGGCAGCCAAUAAAAGCAUACAUGUGGAUGCGCUCUUGGGAGCCAGUAGAAGUUGUAGGCAUUGGUGAGCACCCCCAGGCCAGCCACCUGGCACUCGACAAUCAGCUUCUUCGUCGGGCUGCAAACACACAAGGACAGAGUCAUAUCACCAGCGGAAGCGCCAAAUCACGGCAGAAUCCAAACAUCAAGACAAAGUAA